rnacentral:lncRNA from 1 species
CUCUUCUUGCAUAGCAAUCUCCCACUUCAUUGCAUCAUCACACCUCAUUGCAUCACACAAAGUCAAUGGAUCAUCAAGAAGAGCAACAUUGGCCUGAUCUUCACUUACUUGUAGAAAGAUGUGGUUCUUCCACCAUUCACCUUGUGAUCUUCUUUCACGUGUUCGAUAUCUUCUCUCAUGCAAAGAAGAUGAGCCUUCAUGCACCUCUUGCUGCCUUCUAUGGCUCAUACACUUCCUUCUCUCAUUCAUUGGUUGAUAUUCUUCAUCUUCAUUCUCUUCAUUGUCCUUGUUGUAUCUUGUUGGAAUUGAAGUCUUUAUAGAGUUGGGUUCUUCUUCAAUGAUAUCUUCAUUUCCAUCUUCACUUUGAGAAUGCUCUUCUUCAUCAUCUUCUUUGUUUGCUGAAAUUGAAGAUGUGUCCACAA